rnacentral:rRNA from 1 species
CACGUAGGCGGAUCGUUAAGUCAGGGGUGAAAUCCCGGGGCUCAACCCCGGAACUGCCUUUGAUACUGGCGAUCUCGAGUUCGGGAGAGGUGAGUGGAAUUCCGAGUGUAGAGGUGAAAUUCGUAGAUAUUCGGAGGAACACCAGUGGCGAAGGCGGCUCACUGGCCCGAUACUGACGUUGAGGUGCGAAAGCGUGGGGAGCAAACA